UGCUGGAGGUAUCAGAAGUGCGAAUGCUGACAUAAGUAACGAUAAAGCGGGUGAAAAGCCCGCUCGCCGGAAGACCAAGGGUUCCUGUCCAACGUUAAUCGGGGCAGGGUGAGUCGACCCCUAAGGCGAGGCCGAAAGGCGUAGUCGAUGGGAAACGGGUUAAUAUUCCCGUACUUGGUGUUACUGCGAAGGGGGGACGGAGAAGGCUAUGUUGGCCGGGCGACGGUUGUCCCGGUUUAAGCGUGUAGGUGUGUGUUCCAGGUAAAUCCGGUUCACUUUAACACUGAGGCGUGACGACGAGGCACUACGGUGCUGAAGCAACAAAUGCCCUGCUUCCAGGAAAAGCCUCUAAGCAUCAGGUAACACGAAAUCGUACCCCAAACCGACACAGGUGGUCAGGUAGAGAAUACCAAGGCGCUUGAGAGAACUCGGGUGAAGGAACUAGGCAAAAUGGUGCCGUAACUUCGGGAGAAGGCACGCUGACAUGUAGGUGAAGUGAUUUACUCAUGGAGCUGAAGUCAGUCGAAGAUACCAGCUGGCUGCAACUGUUUAUUAAAAACACAGCACUGUGCAAACACGAAAGUGGACGUAUACGGUGUGACGCCUGCCCGGUGCCGGAAGGUUAAUUGAUGGGGUCAGCGCAAGCGAAGCUCCUGAUCGAAGCCCCGGUAAACGGCGGCCGUAACUAUAACGGUCCUAAGGUAGCGAAAUUCCUUGUCGGGUAAGUUCCGACCUGCACGAAUGGCGUAAUGAUGGCCAGGCUGUCUCCACCCGAGACUCAGUGAAAUUGAACUCGCUGUGAAGAUGCAGUGUACCCGCGGCAAGACGGAAAGACCCCGUGAACCUUUACUAUAGCUUGACACUGAACAUUGAGCCUUGAUGUGUAGGAUAGGUGGGAGGCUUUGAAGUGUGGACGCCAGUCUGCAUGGAGCCGACCUUGAAAUACCACCCUUUAAUGUUUGAUGUUCUAACGUGGACCCGUAAUCCGGGUUGCGGACAGUGUCUGGUGGGUAGUUUGACUGGGGCGGUCUCCUCCUAAAGAGUAACGGAGGAGCACGAAGGUUGGCUAAUCCUGGUCGGACAUCAGGAGGUUAGUGCAAUGGCAUAAGCCAGCUUGACUGCGAGCGUGACGGCGCGAGCAGGUGCGAAAGCAGGUCAUAGUGAUCCGGUGGUUCUGAAUGGAAGGGCCAUCGCUCAACGGAUAAAAGGUACUCCGGGGAUAACAGGCUGAUACCGCCCAAGAGUUCAUAUCGACGGCGGUGUUUGGCACCUCGAUGUCGGCUCAUCACAUCCUGGGGCUGAAGUAGGUCCCAAGGGUAUGGCUGUUCGCCAUUUAAAGUGGUACGCGAGCUGGGUUUAGAACGUCGUGAGACAGUUCGGUCCCUAUCUGCCGUGGGCGCUGGAGAACUGAGGGGGGCUGCUCCUAGUACGAGAGGACCGGAGUGGACGCAUCACUGGUGUUCGGGUUGUCAUGCCAAUGGCACUGCCCGGUAGCUAAAUGCGGAAGAGAUAAGUGCUGAAAGCAUCUAAGCACGAAACUUGCCCCGAGAUGAGUUCUCCCUGAGACUUAGAGUCUCCUGAAGGAACGUUGAAGACGACGACGUUGAUAGGCCGGGUGUGUAAGCGCAGCGAUGCGUUGAGCUAACCGGUACUAAUGAACCGUGAGGCUUAACCUUACAACGCCGAAG
rnacentral:rRNA from 1 species